rnacentral:rRNA from 1 species
UACGGAGGGAGCUAGCGUUGUUCGGAAUUACUGGGCGUAAAGCGCACGUAGGCGGCUUUGUAAGUUAGAGGUGAAAGCCCAGGGCUUAACCCUGGAAUUGCCUUUAAGACUGCAUCGCUAGAAUCGUGGAGAGGUGAGUGGAAUUCCGAGUGUAGAGGUGAAAUUCGUAGAUAUUCGGAAGAACACCAGUGGCGAAGGCGACUCACUGGACACGUAUUGACGCUGAGGUGCGAAAGCGUGGGGAGCAAACAGG